GCAUAUCAAUAAGCGGAGGAAAAGAAACUAACAAGGAUUCCCCUUAGUAACGGCGAAGUGAAGCGGGAUGAAGCUCAAAUUUAAAAUCUGGCUGCCUCAGGUGGUCCGAGUUGUAGUCUCGAGAAGUGUUUUCCGCGUUGGCCUGUGUACAAGUCCUUUGGAAUAAGGCGUCAUAGAGGGUGAGAAUCCCGUCCUUGACACAGAUCCCCAAUGCUUUGUGAUGCGCUCUCAAAGAGUCGAGUUGUUUGGGAAUGCAGCUCAAAAUGGGUGGUAAAUUCCAUCUAAAGCUAAAUAUUGGCGAGAGACCGAUAGCGAACAAGUACCGUGAGGGAAAGAUGAAAAGCACUUUGGAAAGAGAGUUAAACAGUACGUGAAAUUGUUGAAAGGGAAACGAUUGAAGUCAGUCAUGCUCGUAGGGAUUCAACCGGUUCUGCCGGCCUAUUUCCCUACUUGCAGGCCAGCAUCAGUUUUGACCGGUGGAAAAGGUUGGAGGGAAUGUGGCAUCCUCGGAUGUGUUAUAGCCCUCUUUCGCAUACAUCGGUUGGGACUGAGGAACGCAGCACGCCUUUAUGGUCGGUCUUCGGACACGUACGUGCUUAGGAUGCUGGCAUAAUGGCUUUAAACGACCCGUCUUGAAACACGGACCAAGGAGUCUAACAUGUUUGCGAGUAUUUGGGUGUCAAACCCGAGUGCGCAAUGAAAGUGAAUGCAGGUGGGAUCCGCAAGGAGCACCAUCGACCGAUCUGGAUCUUUUGUGAUGGAUUUGAGUAAGAGCACAUAUGUUGGGACCCGAAAGAUGGUGAACUAUGCCUGAAUAGGGCGAAGCCAAGAGGAAACUCUGGUGGAGGCUCGUAGCGAUUUCUGACGUGCAAAUCGAUCGUCAAAUUUGGGUAUAGGGGGCGAAAGACUAAUCGAACCAUCUAGUAGCUGGUUCCUGCGA
rnacentral:rRNA from 1 species